AAAUAUCACCGAAGUAGUAAGGAGCCCUGUUUUAAAUCUGGCACAACCUAAUGUUACUGUCAUCAAUGUGCUUAAUAACUCCACCACCACAACAACAACUACACCAAGCACACCACCGCCAACAACCCCAGCUAUAGCAAGCACAUGUCCAGUUCCUCAGACAUCUGUUAAUAGGUCACAAUGUGGAACACAAAAGCUCUGUGCAGCUGAACCUUUCGGUUGCGAGCCCUCUACAGACACAUCCUGCUUCUUUACAUCCGCCCAGCAGAACAGUGGCCAAAUGUUUAGGUUUGAGAUCUCAGCUGUAUCUGUGGGCUUCGUUGCUGUGAUCCUGUCAUCUGACUCCACAACGGGAAGCAACGACACAGCCUAUGCUUGUGUUAACGACAACAACAUGGUUGACGUCCGCAACGCCUUAUUUGGCAGCGACACGCUGAACACCACAACGUUGGAUGUGACCUGUGUGAGUGGCAUAAUCAGGGGAGGCAGAAUUGAGUGCACGUUUAAUGCCACAAUACCAGUUUCCACUGCUCGAACAACAAGUUUCUCACUUUCAGUCAUCAAUGGAACUUUCAAUUCCACUUCUGGUGCUUUGGAAAAUAUCACCGAAGUAGUAAGGAGCCCUGUUUUAAAUCUGGCACAACCUAAUGUUACUGUCAUCAACGUGCUUAAUAACUCCACCACCACAACCACAACAACAACAACAACAACAACAACAACAACUGCUCCCACAACCACUGCUCACGCAAUCACAAUCCAGCAAUCAGUAAUGCAAGCUCUAUUGAUCACUGUGGCUAGCCUGGGUCUAAGUAUGCUAUGAGGAAAUAAAACCUACAAUCAGCAAGACAACUUCCCCAUCCAUGCAUUUGUGCUAUUGAAUAAAAACCUUUAAAGGUCUUACUGGAGUUUAACUUUACACAGCGCAACCCUGAUUGAUAGGAUUAUUUUUGUAAUAACUUAUCACAAGUUAAAGCAAGAGGACUGGUAAAACUGUUAACUCUUACAGCUUUUUGAGGCUUUUAGUACCUCUAAUAGGUAAAUAAUUAACUGUGAAGAGUUUUAUGAAUUGUGUAACUAUAUUUAACCAUGGGAUUGCUAGAUUUUGAUAUAAUUCAUUCAUUAAAGUGUCUAAAACAGGGCACAAACAUAAAGUAGAAUUACAAUACGAAGCAUUAAGACUAAUCAAAGUUGUGGUUGUUCUUUUUACAUCAUGUCAACCAGAAUCGUGACUAUCGUCAGUAGAUAUCUUAUCUCAAAUUUUGGCUUUGUGGUCUGGUUACCUCUUAAGCCCACAUUAUUGCUGUCAAAAACCUCAUGCAUCAAGAAGUCAACUAUCAGCAUUGCAGCCAUCGAACUGUUAAACUAUGAUGGAAGGAAAACAUUUCCCUACACAAUAAAGACCAAAGUUUUAGUCAAAAAUAUUCUUAGGCACAUGCACAGAACAGACAGGUUUGUGCAUAUCACUAUUUAGAUUCACACAUGAUGAACUGUCUACAAGUGAGCAAAGAAUGUGUUUUUGUGCUCUCUUUUUA